rnacentral:rRNA from 1 species
UUUUUUGGAGAGUUUGAUCCUGGCUCAGGACGAACGCUGGCGGUAUGCUUAACACAUGCAAGUCGUACGAGAUAAAAAAUUAUAUUUCCUCUUUGCGGAGUGAGAUAUAAGAUUUUAUUCUAGUGGCGGACGGGUGCGUAACGCGUAAGAACUUACCUUUUGGUGUGGGAUAACAGCUGGAAACGGCUGCUAAUACCGCAUAGUGCUGAGAAGCUAAAAGUGAAAACUGCCAAGAGAGAGGCUUGCGUCUGAUUAGCUAGUUGGUGGAGGUAAAGGCUCCCCAAGGCGACGAUCAGUAGCUGGUCUGAGAGGAUGAUCAGCCACACUGGGACUGAGACACGGCCCAGACUCCUACGGGAGGCAGCAGUGAGGAAUUUUCCACAAUGGGCGAAAGCCUGAUGGAGCAAUACCGCGUGGAGGAAGACGGAUCGUGGUCUGUAAACUCCUUUUCUCAGAGAAGACACCCGACGGUAUCUGAGGAAUAAGCACCGGCUAACUCUGUGCCAGCAGCCGCGGUAAUACAGGGGGUGCAAGCGUUGUCCGGAAUGAUUGGGCGUAAAGCGUUCGUAGGUGGUUCUUAAAGUCUACUGUUAAAUCCCAGAGCUUAACUUUGGACCGGCAGUAGAGAACUCAAGAGCUAGAGGGCGGUAGGGGUAGAGGGAAUUCCUAGUUAAGCGGUGAAAUGCACAGAGAUUAGGAAGAACACCGGUGGCGAAAGCGCUCUACUAGGCCGUUGCUGACACUGAGGGACGACAGCUGUGGGAGCGAAAAGGAUUAGAUACCCUUGUAGUCACAGCCGUAAACGAUGGAUACUAAGUGCUGUCAAAAACAGUGCUGUAGCUUACGCGUUAAGUAUCCCGCCUGGGGAGUAUGCUCGCAAGAGUGAAACUCAAAGGAAUUGACGGGUCUUAGCACAAGUGGUGGAUUCUGUGGUUUAAUUUGAUGCUACGCGGAGAACCUUACCAGGGUUUGACAUCCCGAGAAGAACCUAGAAAUAGGUUUGUGCUCCUUAUCGCUUCGCGAAUAAAGGAGAGCUUGGUGACAGGUGGUGCAUGGCUGUCGUCAGCUCGUGCGGUGACGUGUCGAGUUAAGUCUUUUAACGAGCGCAACCCUUGUCUUUAGUUGUCCUUCGCAUUCGGUGCGCGCGCUUCCGCAUAGCGGCUGCGAAGACUUCGUCGAAAGCAACCGAAGCGAAAAAGCGGAAAUCUAAAGAGACUGCCGGAGCAAUUCGGAGGAAGGAGAGGAUGACGUCAAGUCAGCAUGCCCCUUACAUCCUGGGCUACACACGUAAUACAAUGGUUGAGACAAUCGGCAGCAAACCCGUGAGGGGGAGCGAAUCUGGCAAACUCAAUCUCAGUUCGGAUUGUAGGCUGCAACUCGCCUACAUGAAGUUGGAAUCACUAGUAAUCGCCGGUCAGCUAUACGGCGGUGAAUACGUUCCCUAAGAUUGUACACACCGCCCGUCAAAGGUCGAGAGCAGAUUGAACCCGAAGUGGCUUACUCUAACAGAAAUGAAGAGGGUUCCAACGGUUUGGUUUGUGAUUAAUCUUAAGUCGUAACAAGGUACUCCUACUGGAAGGUGGGAGUGGAGAACCUCCUUU